ensembl:lncRNA
CAAGGACUGUCUUAAAAUAAAGGCACGUACAGUGCCAGGCUCAGUAGGCAUUGUCUGUGCCAGAGGCCUGGAGGCACAAACCUACAGCAAAUGACUGCUCUGUGUCACGAGGUACAACUUUUCAGGCCUGGAUCUUGGCGCUGGAAGUCUUGAACCCCAUGGUUCCUCCUUUCCCUCUGUGCUGCGCCCCUGGCUCACUGGUGGGAGCAGUACCAUCUUGUGCUCUGCUCUAAGGCAAACUCUCAUGCUUGCUUUCCAGCACAUAUCCCCCCCUCUGCAUGGCACCCUGCUUCCCAAAUCCAGGAUCAAUAGGAGGCUCAGGCAGGGACUUGUAUUGUGCAGCUUUGGCUCUGUUCUGGAGGAAAGUUCCUGUGAGCUGGUAUGCGGGCUGAGCGCUGGAUCAGCCAGGAGCACUGGGUGGAACCUUUCCCAGCAUAAAGGAAGAUGUUUGGAGGGAUUACAGAAGGCAUAUUGGGUACCUGCAGAGGUUGUAAACCAGAGAGAGCUUUCAGUUUGCCAUGGACCAAGAUGCCUGAUACGCCUACGUAUUUGUUAGCAUUUAUAAUAAGAGUAUCAGUAGAUAUAAUGGGGCUUUUCGCACUCCCUUUUUGCGCAUACAAAACACAAGCAAAGUGUACUCUGAAUUUAAUAACAAAGCAGGUGAGGAGUGUUUACUGCAGACUGCCCAGAGAGAUUUUGGAUGCCCCAUCCAUCCCUGGAGGUGUUCAAGGCCAGGUUGGAUGGGGCCCUGGGCAGCCCGGGCUGGUAUUACAUGUGGAGGUUGGUGGCCCUGCCUGUGGCGGGGGGUUGGAGCUUCGUGAUCCUUGAGGUCCCUUCCAGCCCGGGCCAUUCUGUGAUUCUGUGACAGUGGGUCU